AAUUUUCUAUAAAGAUUUGAGCAUUAUACCAAUUUAUUACAUCCAAGUCAUUAAUAAUUCUGUAUAGUUGUAUCACAUCACCUCUUGAUCUUCUAAUUUUUAAUGUGGAGAGAAAGGUUUAUCAAGAUUGUUUGUGAUGGUCAAUUUGCCACCACAUAAAAGUAGCAAAUAAUAAUGAAGCUAUGGCAAUAAACAUGUUGAAACAAAAUGCCAAAUCUCAAGUUAAAUGGUUCAUCUAAAUCUGAAUCUGCUGUAAAGUAAAUUAAAUAUUCAAUCAUAAAUUGUCAAAUCUCAAGACAUGAAAUUGUUAAUGGAGUUUUGGUCCAUAAUAAUCCAAGUAACACAUGUUUUAAUAAAUAUAUUUUUAAAACGGAUUUAACCACUAAAAAAGAAAUUAACGUUACAAAUUGAAGCAGAAAUUUAUAACGAAUCAUGUUGACGAUUGAAUAUGAAUCGCAGAAAAGCACCAUUGACGAAUGGUUGUAAAUCAAAUCUUUGUAUAAUAAUUGCUUUUUGUCGCGUAAA